rnacentral:pre_miRNA from 9 species
UCUCGAUAGCGUAAAAGUUAAGUAAAAAUUGUAUGGAGUUAGAAUGUUUGCCUACGUUUGCCGCUAGGGGCGCUGUUUCAACUGCAUACAAAUUUUUGUUACACUUUCACGUUAUUCA